UACAGAGGCCUCGAGCGUUAGGCGGAAUCACUGGGCUUAAAGCGUGUGUAGGCGGACUUCUAAGUACCUUGUGAAAUCCCACGGCUCACCCGUGGAACUGCUUUGGUAUACUGGUUGUCUUGAGCCUUCUAGGGGCGAGUGGAACAAAUGGUGGAGCGGUGAAAUGCGUAGAUAUCAUUUGGAACGCCAAUGGUGAAAACAACUCGCUGGGGAAGUGCUGACGCUGAGACACGAAAGCCAGGGGAGGCGAACGGG
rnacentral:rRNA from 1 species